rnacentral:lncRNA from 1 species
AUCACAUUAGUUUAGAAGCUAUUUAAACUUACCUCUCCCUUUACUCCCUGCCCUAUCGUGGUUUCUGUUUCAGUUCCCUUUAGCGCUUGUUGUGUUCAGUUGUGUUUCUUCGUAUUGACUUUGGCUUUGUUUCUGACUACGUUUUCUCUUUAUCCUUAUCUGUUCUGUUUGCCGGCUUGCUGUUUACCGUGUACCAGACCCCGUCUAGUCCUAGUUUACG